GAUUACAAAUCAAAGAGUGCCGAACACAUUACACGCGUUUUCAUAAAAAAAAAAAAUUAAAUAUAAUGUAACAUAAUGGUAUGUACUCAGCUGCGUUUCGUGUUGGUUCCCGCGCAUUUGUUUCAGUUCCAUAUGCUAUAUUUGUUAUCCGUGUUAUAUCUCUAUACAUAUAAUGAGUAUUAUACCGCGAUUUGCCUAUACAAAUGCGGGUGAAGCAGUUGUUGAAAAACGCGCGGUGGUAAGAAAAAACGAUACACCGCUUCUCAAGAUCUCGAAAUUAAAAACGGGUUAUUUUAUCGCGUAGGUACGGUUAUUUAAAAAUAAAAGAAAAAAAAGUAAACGCGAGGGGUUUUUUUUUCCCCGACGUGUUGAAAAAUCAAUGCGAAGCGAUCUCACGGGAGUCGUGUGAAAAAAAACAAUAAAUAAUAUUGGAACAUAAUAACACGAAUUUGAAACGCGCCAAAUUUUAUAUUUUAUGUUCAAUGGAUUAAUUUUUUUUUU